CCNGAAAGGGACGGCUAACUACGUGCCAGCAGCCGCGGUAAUACGUAGGUCCCGAGCGUUGUCCGGAUUUAUUGGGCGUAAAGGGAGCGCAGGCGGUCAGGAAAGUNUGGAGUAAAAGGCUAUGGCUCAACCAUAGUGUGNUCUGGAAACUGUCUGACUUGAGUGCAGAAGGGGAGAGUGGAAUUCCAUGUGUAGCGGUGAAAUGCGUAGAUAUAUGGAGGAACACCAGUGGCGAAAGCGGCUCUCUGGUCUGUCACUGACGCUGAGGCUCGAAAGCGUGGGUAGCGAACAGGAUUAGAUACCCUGGUAGUCCACGCCGUAAACGAUGAGUGCUAGGUGUUAGGCCCUUUCCGGGGCUUAGUGCCGGAGCUAACGCAAUAAGCACUCCGCCUGGGGAGUACGACCGCAAGGUUGAAACUCAAAGGAAUUGACGGGGGCCCGCACAAGCGGUGGAGCAUGUGGUUUAAUUCGAAGCAACGCGAAGAACCUUACCAGGUCUUGACAUCCCGAUGCUAUUCUUAGAGAUAGGAAGUUACUUCGGUACAUCGGAGACAGGUGGUGCAUGGUUGUCGUCAGCUCGUGUCGUGAGAUGUUGGGUUAAGUCCCGCAACGAGCGCAACCCUUAUUGUUAGUUGCCAUCAUUAAGUUGGGCACUCUAGCGAGACUGCCGGUAAUAAACCGGAGGAAGGUGGGGAUGACGUCAAAUCAUCAUGCCCCUUAUUACCUGGGCUACACACGUGCUACAAUGGUCGGUACAACGAGUUGCGAGCCGGUGACGGCAAGCUAAUCUCUGAAAGCCGAUCUCAGUUCGGAUUGGAGGCUGCAACUCGCCUCCAUGAAGUCGGAAUCGCUAGUAAUCGCGGAUCAGCACGCCGCGGUGAAUACGUUCCCGGGCCUUGUACACACCGCCCGUCACACCACGAGAGUUUGUAACACCCGAAGUCGGUGAGGUANCCUUC
rnacentral:rRNA from 1 species